AUUGAACGCUGGCGGCAUGCCUUACACAUGCAAGUCGAACGGCAGCACGGACUUCGGUCUGGUGGCGAGUGGCGAACGGGUGAGUAAUAUAUCGGAACAUACCCUAGAGUGGGGAAUAACGUAGCGAAAGUUACGCUAAUACCGCAUACGAUCUAAGGAUGAAAGCGGGGGAUCGCAAGACCUCGUGCUCAUGGAGUGGCCGAUAUCUGAUUAGCUAGUUGGUGAGGUAAAGGCUCACCAAGGCGACGAUCAGUAGCUGGUCUGAGAGAACGACCAGCCACACUGGAACUGAGACACGGUCCAGACUCCUACGGGAGGCAGCAGUGGGGAAUUUUGGACAAUGGGCGCAAGCCUGAUCCAGCAAUGCCGCGUGAGUGAAGAAGGCCUUCGGGUUGUAAAGCUCUUUUGUCAGGGAAGAAACGGUUGUGGCUAAUAUCCAUGGCUAAUGACGGUACCUGAAGAAUAAGCACCGGCUAACUACGUGCCAGCCGCCGCUGUAACAC
rnacentral:rRNA from 1 species